AUGUUGAUAAGGGAAAAAAAGGCAGCAAGAAAAUAGAAGCUGGUUGGUUUAUGAGAUGGUAAUCUAAGCUGGUAAUCUAUCUGAACAUUGCCGUUUCUUCUUCUCGCUCUAUCUUGUCUGCAUCAUUCUUUAAUUAGUGGUGAUGAUGAGACUAUCUAAGCUGUUAUCUUGUCUGCAUCAUUCUUUAAUUAGUGGUGAUGAUGAGACAGACUAAAACUUUGUUAUUAUUUCAAAGUUGUGCCUGUGACCUAUUCGUUAGGUUUUGCUUCUCUGAUUGUACGGCUUCUCAUCUCUAAGGCAGAACAUUCAUC
rnacentral:lncRNA from 1 species